rnacentral:lncRNA from 1 species
GGCAUUCUUCAACUAGUUUCAAUCCAACUCUCUUCAUCUCCAAAUGAGUUCCAACUUGAAAUGGAGCUUCUAAUCAACAACUAAUUCAAUAUUGAAAUAUAUUAAACAAUUUUGGUACUGUUCUCUUGAUUUUUCUGGCCAAUAAUUGCACUUUUUGAAUCGAAAAUUUUUGGGUCUAAUUGAAUUGCACUUUUUGAGCCAACAAUUUCACACCAAUCUCUUAAUAAUCCUAAAAUAAUUUAUUUACUAGUUGAAAAAUGAAAAGAAAAGUUCGGAAAGUAACACAAAAAACCAGAAAGAGAUUUUGUGAGCAUUAACAGAGGAAGAAAAAUGAAGGAGAUGAAUAAAAAAAGAAAUGGAAAAAAGUUGGACAUGUUGCAUUUUUAUAAGGCUUCAAAUACAAAAGUUUUUAGUUCAUUCGCCUUAUUUGAGUGUAAAGGACGUGUGUGUCAUAUAGGCAAAAUAAUGUGUAAUAUAUAUAAUUUUGAAAGAUUGAGUGUUUAAAAAUAUUCUCAUGAUUAACAAAUAUAUAACAAAGAUUGAAGUACAAAUUUAUUCCGCUCCCAAUGAGAUGGAAAAUAUGUAAUCCCCUAUUUAGACUUUUGGACCCCGGCCCGGCUCAGGUGUUAUUCUAUCUUCCAACUCCACAUUAUGUCACGCAUCCAGCCAUCCAAACUAUAUUCACCGCACACCUCACCUAUAAGAAAAUUUAGAAAUAAAAAAGAAAAAUAAAGGAGCUAGGAACUAACAGUACUUUCAUAGGUAUUUGGUAGCGAGAAACAACCUGGGCAAAGAAGAUCGGAAAGUACCAUAUAACUAGGCUUUCAGGUAAUGUUGAAUGAUGAAACGUCCCCUCCAUUAUUUACUUUCCAAUAUUGUGUGGAACGACAACACUGUCCUACCAUAAUCAACCAACAGUUAAAAAAAGCCAUUGCACAUGCUCUCUUUUCUCAUUAUUUUACCCAAAACUACCUGAGCAGUAAAG